rnacentral:rRNA from 1 species
AUACAGGACUCGUCCGAGGCCUUGUAAUUGGAAUGUUUUUAAGAUAAAGACAUGAAGGAGGAACUGUUAGAGGGCAAGUCUGGUGCCAGCAGCCGCGGUAAUUCCAGCUCUAAUAGCGUAUUUUAAUGUUGUUGCGGUUGAAAAGCUCGUAGUUGGAUAUCAUUGAUUGUAUAAGUUCAAUGUGAAUUGUUCUUAUACAGGAGAGGCAAGUCAAGCGGUGAAAAUAAACUUGAAUGUUUAUAUCCACAUAACGCCUGGCUUAAGUUACUUUGAAUAAAUCAAAGUGCUCAAUACAAGCUUUUGCUUGAAUAUAUGUGCAUGGGAUAACGCAAGAAGAUCAAUAUCGAAUCUGUUGGUUGAAUCGAUAUGGGUAAUGAUUAAUAGAGAUUGACGGGGGCAUUUGUAUUUGAAAGCGAGAGGUGAAAUUCUGUGACCUUUCAAAGACAUGCUAAAGCGAAAGCACUUGCCAAGAAUGUUUUCACUAAUCAAGAACGAAAGUUAGAGGCUCGAAGGCGAUUAGAUACCGCCCUAGUUCUAACCAUAAACAAUGCCAACUAACAAUCUUGUGUAGUUUAAGUUGAAACUAACAAGGAAGUUUUCGGAAAACCAAAGUUUUUGGGUUCCGGGGGUAGUAUGGUUGCAAAGCUGAAACUUAAAGUAAUUGACGGAGUGGCACCACCAGGAGUGGAGCCUGUGGCUUAAUUUGACCCAACACGGGGAAGCUCACCAGGGCAAGACACUAUUAGGAUUGACAGAUUGAUAGCUCUUUCUCGAUAAAGUGGGUGGUGGUGCAUGGCCGUUCUUAGUUGGUGGAGUGAUUUGUCUGGUUAAUUCCGAUAACGAACGAGACUCUGACCAAUUACUAGUGAAAUCUUUUGAAAAGAAAGUUACCGCAGUAAUGCAGUUUCAUUCGAGAUAUUACUUCUUAAGGGGACACGCUAUUGUGAAUAGCACGAGGAAGAGCAAUAACAGGUCUGUGAUGCCCUUAGAUGUUCUGGGCUGCACACGCGCUACAAUAAAUUAAUCAACAAGUUCUCCGCUUUGACAGAUGCGGGCAAACUUUUGAAAUUAAUUUAUGGUAGGAAUGGGAACUUGCAAUUAUUUUCCCUGAACUAGAAAUUCCUAGUAAGCGCAAGUCAUCAGCUUGCGUUGAUUUAGUCCCUGCCACUUGUACACACCGCCCGUCGCUACUACCGAUCGGAUUUAUUAGUGAGACCUAAAGACUUAAGGUGAAAUAACAUUCUUGUUAAUAACCGUCAAGGAAAUAGUUCAAACUGAUAUUUCUAGAGGAAGUAAA